UUAAAGUUUUAUUUUAGCUUAAAAUUUUAUUAUUGAUUUAUUUUAUAUGUAAGUUUUUGCAUGAAUUUUUAUUUAUUUAAAUAAUAAGUAAAUUUUAUUAUAUUCUCAGUAAUUAGUUUUAUUAAUCAAAGAAAUUUGUAAAUAGUAAUUUCAUAUAGUAUUGGCUAAAUUUGUGCCAGCAGCCGCGGUUAUACAAAUAAUGCAAAUAAAAUUAGUUCAGUGUAAGUUAAAUUUUAUAUAAAUAAAAUAAUUGUAAAUUUAUUAGGUGAAAUUUUAAAUUUAUAAAUUUUUAUUUUAGUUAAAUUAAAGCUUAUAAAUUUUGUUAAUAAACUAGGAUUAGAUACCCUAUUAUUUAAAAUGUAAAUAUUAACACUAAGGUAGUAUUAGUUAUGUUCUUGAAACUUAAAAAAUUUGGCGGUAUUUUAGUCUAUUCAGAGGAACCUGUUCUGUAAUUGAUAAUCCACGAUGUACCUUACUUAAAUUUGUUUUUCAGUUUAUAUACCGUCGUUAUAAGAAUAUUUUAUAAGAAUAAUAAUUUUCCAUAAUUUUUAUUAAAAUUUAUAUCAGAUCAAGGUGUAGCUUAUAUUUAAGUAGAAAUGGGUUACAAUAAAAUUAUUUAAGUGAAUUUAAAUUUGAAAUAUUUAAUGAAAAUGGAUUUGAUAGUAAAAUUUUAUAGAUUAAAAAUUUGAUUUUAGCUCUAAAAUAUGCACACAUCGCCCGUCGCUCUUAUUCUUAAGAUAAGAUAAGUCGUAACAUAGUAGAUGUACCGGAAGGUGUAUCUAGAAUGACAAUUUAAAGCUU
rnacentral:ncRNA from 1 species